AUGUUACCUGCAAUUAUUGCUAUUAUUCAUUACUCACUAUUAUCUCAGCAUUUAUCACCCUCAUCUAUGUUGAAUUCUACUGCACAGACCCAGUGGAUCACAUAUAAUUGUAUCCCAUACUUUUCUCUUCCCACACCUGCAUCCAUACCCUCCUCAGGCAACUCAUUUGUUCCAGGAUUUUACUCAGAGACCCAGGGAUGCAUAUUCCUUGUGUUGAAAUCACUGCAGCCUUCUUCUCCAUGGCCAGAUCUGGAAAGAGGCCUUUUGGACAUGAUCUCAAUUGUGAGAACACUCCUAAUAUGUUCCAUAUUUACAGGCUCAAAAGCAUUUUUAAUGAGUGGAGUAUGGCGAUGCCUUGCCAGUGUGUCUGCAGAUGACUCAAUCUGUAUGCACACACCCAAAUGCACACACACUUGGAAAAGGGAAACCAUGGAGUUGCACAAACUGGAGGCAGGUGAGACCAGAAUAUCUGAAGAGGGAGGUGAAGGGGCAUCCAUUCCCUCCUUCUGGCUGGCUGCCUGUCUGCCAGCCAAACUGCCCAACACCCAUGGUGGGGCUGCUGCUUACAACAGGGCCCGCUUUGCAGAGGAGAACCUGAUUGAAGGCUCACAGUGGAUUUCACAGUUGGUUUCCCUUGACAUUUUUCCCUGGAAAGAAUUCCUUCAUCCAUUCAUGCAUUCAUCAGAUCAUUCAUCAAACACUACCAAGCACUUACUAAGUACCAGGUACUGUUCUGAGCAGUAGAGUGAAUGAGAGCCGUGGAAAACACUGUUACCGAGCUUACUGCAUCCUCCUGGGGUAUAAUCUCAGCAGACAUUAUUAAUGUCAUCAGAUAAAGUUCACAAUCUUUUAUCUGAACUCCUUGGGGACAGACUGAUUUGUUGGAAAUUUUAGAAUUUUUUUUGAAAGAUAAAAUGGGGGCAUAUGAUAAUUUAGUUUGCAAAUAGCCCCUGUGAGGUCUGGGGAAGUACCCAGUAACCCAACACCAUUCGUAUUUCUUCUGUGAAAAGUAUGAACAUUCACUUCAACUGGGAUAAAUUAAGACUCUAAAUGAUCUUGUCACAGGAGGUCCAGUUUCACCACCACAGGAGUUUGAAAACCCGUUUUCAGAGCUGCUUUUUGUAGAGGAGCAGGUAAUGAGUGCCCUGUGUGCUGCCUGACCCUUGCUAAGUUCUCCAUGAGCUCUGCUGUUCAUUCUCGCUGCACCCCAGAUUUUCAAGGUCAUCUGUUUCAUUUUUACUGCUUUCCUACCAGGUAGGUCAUCAUAUUUCUGUUUCUCUUUGUUGUGUGGCGAGGUCAUUAUAUUUCUCUGAUUUUUGUUUAUAUUGUAACAAAAUCAAUAUUUUUGUUAUAGUUGUCAUAGGUGUGUGUUUAAGAGGAUUCUGAGAGGCUAAAUGACAUGUCUAAAGUUUCACUGUUAGAAAGUGGCAAUUUUAGGACUGGAACUCCAGACUUCAGAGUUUAUACUCAGCCAUAACCCAGCUCUAGUGUCUUCUCCAGGACAGAAAAGACAGCAGAGCAGGAAAUAAAAGUGCUGGGGCUGUGUCUACA
ensembl:lncRNA